GAUGAAGAACGUAGCGAAAUGCGAUAAGUAAUGUGAAUUGCAGAAUUCAGUGAAUCAUCGAAUCUUUGAACGCACAUUGCGCCCCUUGGUAUUCCGAGGGGCAUGCCUGUUCGAGCGUCAUUACACCACUCAAGCUAUGCUUGGUAUUGGGCGUCGUCCUUAGUUGGGCGCGCCUUAAAGACCUCGGCGAGGCCACUCCGGCUUUAGGCGUAGUAGAAUUUAUUCGAACGUCUGUCAAAGGAGAGGAACUCUGCCGACUGAAACCUUUAUUUUUCUAGGUUGACCUCGGAUCAGGUAGGGAUACCCGCUGAACUUAAGCAUAUCAAAGCGGAGGA
rnacentral:misc_RNA from 1 species